rnacentral:tRNA from 1 species
UCCCUGGUAGCUCAGCUGGUAAAGAAUCCACCUGCAGUGUGGGAGACCUGGGAUCCAUCCCUGGCUUGGGAA